CCUGCCUGGCCCCACGUGGAACGGGCUCCCAACGCGCGGAGGCGAAACCCGCGGCGCCGGAGGAAGGGAGCGGAGAGCACGCGCUGAUGACUGUUGCGCUGUCUCGUUGGAUCGCGCGGGUCCCGCCCCGACCCGAGUGUCCUGACUCGUGACGUCGUCCCUCCCACCGUCGGAAUACAGGUACCGUAUCUUGGAGAUAGAUUCCCACGCCUCACCCACACCCGUCGGCAGCUAUGGCGAUGAUGCCGGUUCCGUCGUCAUCUCCGGUGCUACCUUUUGGUGGAUUUUGUUUCCUCUCCUCUUCCCUGGAUGUGGUGACAGCGUUCGUGUUGGCGGAGCAUCCGCGCGAAGACCCAAGGAUGAGGUCAGUGGUCUUCCUAUUUGCGUUGGGGAAGGUUCCUCUGUGCUCCCCCGUGGGCUUCUUCUUCCGGGUCGGCGACCUUGUUGCCGGUGCCGGAUCUUCUGCUGGGCCAUGGCUUCCACCUGGAAGUUGCUUCACCUCUGGUAGUCUGUGGCGGGAUCUACUGGAGGGUUGGAUUUCUUCUGCUUUGUUUGCAAGAUCGCCGAUUCGCGUUCAGCAUUUUAGAUCCAUCUUGGCGGGAGCUCCGGGGUGGUGGAUUUUGCGGCUUCAUCAAGGUUUGAGGUCUUCUGAUUGAGCAGUCGAAGUUCUUGGUGUUCGGGAUGUUCAACCGGGCGGGACGGUGCAAACGAGGAAGAAGAACAGUAGUCUUAGGGCCUGCUGUGUAAUUUCUCCUUUCUGCAAGGGUCUGGUUGUAAAAGGGGGGGGACGUACUGUGCUCCUGUUUAAUAUAUCUUCCCUUUUCGCAAAAAAAAAGUAGUACCCAUAGCAAAAAAAAAUUGAGAAA